UUCUGGAAACUUACCCCAAGCCACAAAUCCACUUGUCAGUGUCCUUUGCACACUGGGGGAAACAAAAGGGUAACAGAUUUCCUGUCUUAGAGAAUUUGCACACCAAGAAACAGAGACACCGGUUCCAACGCUUCUUGCUGCCCGGAAAAGGCAUUUGUGAUGCUUAACUGGCUGCAUGGUGCUCAAUAACUCCAGAAGCUGAGCUCCUCAAACUUCUUCUUGUGGACUUGCUCACUGAGGACCAACAUUUUGGAUUUAAAGCCAUUUUGGCUGGGAGACAAUGCCACCGGCUGCUGCUUAUGGCUUAUGGAUUUCAGGAGAUUUACACUGCGACUGGAGACAGAACAGUGGUAGGAGCUGUGAGGGCAAUUCCUAUAUUUGAAUUCAACUGAGAUCUUUUAGAACACUAGGACCAAGGUGAGACCAGCACUUCAGAAGGUAUGUCUGCUUAAAAUCUCUAACUCUUUGGAGAGGAGUGGAAUGAUUGGGUAGAGCACUGGAUUUGGAUCUGCGACACCUGGGUUCCAUUCCCAAUCUGUCAUGACCCCUGUAUGAUCUUGGGCAAAUCACUUCACCUUCCGUGCCUCCAUUCCCCUUGCAUAUUUAGAUUGGAAUUUUCAAAGGAACAUAGAGUGGAGUGAAGAGACCAGAUGGCUCUGGAAUUUCAGGCUUCUUUGAAAACCUGGGUUUAGAUUGCAAUGAAUUUUGGGGCAGAGACUAUCUCUUCCUAUGUUUAUAUACAGUGCCAAGUACUAUAGGACCAUGAUCUAGGUUGGGACCUUUGGGUGCUACCAAUAUAAUAAUAACUAGGCUCUGCUUUAAUAAUAUCAAUGAAAUAGUCCCCCAGGGGUAUAAAAUGAUAUAGCUUCAUGGAAGUGCAUGGAAUGACACCAGCUGAGGCCCAAUGCACUUCAAUCAAAUGUUGAGCCUAAUGAGAAGUUGUCCUGAGUCUGUCUUUUCUCACAGGAGUUCCAAUGUGCUUAGGUUUUUGAUAUGAGGUGUGGCAUUGUG